rnacentral:rRNA from 1 species
GAUGAACGCUAGCGGCAGGCCUAAUACAUGCAGGUCGAACGAGAUUAAGAGGCUUGCUUCUUAUGAAAGUGGCGCACGGGUGCGUAACGCGUAUGCAACCUACCUUAAUCAGGGGGAUAGCCCGAAGAAAUUCGGAUUAAGACCGCAUAAAAACACAGGAUAGCAUUAUCCAAUGUUCAAAUAUUUAUAGGACUAAGAUGGGCAUGCGUGUCAUUAGCUAGUUGGCGGGGUAACGGCCCACCAAGGCGACGAUGACUAGGGGAUCUGAGAGGAUGACCCCCCACACUGGUACUGAGACACGGACCAGACUCCUACGGGAGGCAGCAGUAAGGAAUAUUGGUCAAUGGAGGGAACUCUGAACCAGCCAUGCCGCGUGCAGGAAGACAGCCCUCUGGGUCGUAAACUGCUUUUAUUCGGGAAUAAACCUUUCUACGUGUAGGAAGCUGAAUGUACCGAAGGAAUAAGGAUCGGCUAACUCCGUG